UACGUAGGUGGCAAGCGUUGUUCGGAUUUACUGGGCGUACAGGGAGCGUAGGCGGUUGGGUAAGCCCUCCGUGAAAUCUCCGGGCCUAACCCGGAAAGUGCGGAGGGGACUGCUCGGCUAGAGGAUGGGAGAGGAGCGCGGAAUUCCCGGUGUAGCGGUGAAAUGCGUAGAGAUCGGGAGGAAGGCCGGUGGCGAAGGCGGCGCUCUGGAACAUUUCUGACGCUGAGGCUCGAAAGCGUGGGGAGCAAACAGG
rnacentral:rRNA from 1 species